rnacentral:lncRNA from 1 species
CUUGUGCCAGUUUUUGAAGAGAAUCCUUCCUGUUUUUGCCCAUUCAGUAUGAUGCUGGCUGUGGUUUUUUGAGAGUUUUUAACAUGAUGGGCUGUUGAAUUUUGUUGAAGGCCUUUUCUGAGAGAUAAUCCUGUGGUUUUUGUCGUUGGUUCUGUUUAUGUGAUGGAUUACGUUUACUGAUUUGCGUAUGUUGAACUAGCUUUGCAUCGCAGGGUAAAGCUGACU